GACGAACGCUGGCGGCGUGCUUAACACAUGCAAGUCGAGCGGAAAGGCCCUUUCGGGGGUACUCGAGCGGCGAACGGGUGAGUAACACGUGAGUAAUCUGCCCUUCACUUGGGGAUAACCUCCUGAAACGGUGGCUAAUACCCGAUACGACCAUUCCUCGCAUGAGGUGGUGGUGGAAAGUUUUUCGGUGGGGGAUGUGCUCGCGGCCUAUCAGCUUGUUGGUGGGGUAAUGGCCUACCAAGGCUUCGACGGGUAGCCGGCCUGAGAGGGUGACCGGCCACACUGGGACUGAGACACGGCCCAGACUCCUACGGGAGGCAGCAGUGGGGAAUAUUGGACAAUGGGCGGAAGCCUGAUCCAGCAACGCCGCGUGAGGGAUGACGGCCUUCGGGUUGUAAACCUCUUUCACCUGUGACGAAGCGAAAGUGACGGUAGCAGGAGAAGAAGCACCGGCCAACUACGUG
rnacentral:rRNA from 1 species